UGGACAGUAUUAUUAAUGAAAUUUAACGGAUUUGGCGGCAAGAUAGCCACUUAGAGGAACCUGCCCUGUAAACGAUGAGCCACGAUUAACCUUACUUUUACUAGAAUCCAGUUUGUAUACCGCUGUUGUCAGUUAGUUUCUUUAGAAAACUUUCGUACAUGAUAAAUUCAAUGACUUCAAGUAAAGGUGCAGCUUAUGUAAAAGAUAGAGGUGGGUUACAAUUAAAAGGAUAAUAUGGAUAAAGUAAAGAAAAAACUUUUGAAGGUGGAUUUAAUAGUAAAGUUUAAUAAGACUUGAUUAGAGCUCUAUCUUGUGUACACACCGCCCGUCGCUCGCGGGA
rnacentral:rRNA from 1 species